UACGAAGGGUGCAAGCGUUACUCGGAAUUACUGGGCGUAAAGCGUGCGUAGGUGGUGGUUUAAGUCUGCUGUGAAAGCCCUGGGCUCAACCUGGGAAUUGCAGUGGAUACUGGGUCACUAGAGUGUGGUAGAGGGAUGCGGAAUUUCUGGUGUAGCAGUGAAAUGCGUAGAGAUCAGAAGGAACAUCCGUGGCGAAGGCGGCAUCCUGGGCCAACACUGACACUGAGGCACGAAAGCGUGGGGAGCAAACAGGAUUAGAACCUACCGUAGU
rnacentral:rRNA from 1 species